GCUAUUUGACGUGUCGGUCGGGAAGGGGAAGGGUUUUGUCUCGCCGGGGCCGCCGCCGCCGCCGCUCCGCCGCCCGCCCGGCCCGGCCCGGCCCCGCGGAGCCCGGCGCGCCGCCCGCCGCCGCCGCCCGCCCCAAAUGAGCGGUGCCCCCGGCGGGCCCCGGCCGAGGACCCCGCCGAGCCGCGGAGCCGCGGGCGCCCCGUCGCCCCGGCCGCCCCCCGCCGACCCGCUGCGCCAGGCCAGCCGGCUGCCCAUCCGCGUCCUGAAGAUGCUCAGCGCCCACAGCGGCCACCUCCUGCACCCCGAGUACCUCCAGCCGCUCUCCUCCACGCCCGUCAGCCCCAUCGAGCUGGACGCCAAGAAGAGCCCUCUGGCGCUGCUGGCCCAGACCUGCUCGCAGAUCGGCAAACCCGACCCUCCGCCCUCCUCCAAGCUGAACGCCGUCGCCUCCGCCGGGCUGCCCGCCGCCGACAAGGAGCCCUCCGCCCGCCCCGCCGCGCUCAAACCGCCGGGCGGCAGCGGGGACGCUCCGCCCGAGGACAAGUCCAGCUUCAAGCCCUACUCCAAGGGCGGGGAGCCGCGCAAGGAGGGCCCGGACAAGGCCGGCUUCCGCGUGCCCAGCGCCGCCUGCCCGCCGUUCCCCCCGCACAGCGCCGCAUCCCCGGGCGGCUCCCGCGGCGCGUCCCCGCAGCACGCCGAGCCCAAGGGCGCCGACGACAAGAAGGAGCCCGAGGCGGGCAAACCCGGCCCCGACGGGGCGAGCGGGGCUUUGGGGCGCGGGGCGGCGGCGGAGCCCGGGGCGCACGGCGAACCCCCCGCCUCGGGCCGCAAAUCGGAGCCCCCCGCGCUGCCGCCCGCCGCCGGCCAUGUGGCCCCCGUGUCUCCCUACAAGCCGGGCCACUCCGUCUUCCCGCUGCCGCCUUCCAGCAUCGGUUACCACGGCUCCAUCGUGGGCGCCUACGCCGGGUACCCCUCGCAGUUCGUGCCCGGCUUGGACCCCAGCAAAGCGGGGCUGGUGGGCAGCCAGCUGCCCGGGGCGCUGGGGCUGCCGGGGAAGCCGCCCAGUUCCAGCCCGCUGACCGGGGCCUCGCCGCCCUCCUUCAUGCAGGGAUUAUGCCGGGACCCGUACUGCCUGAGCUACCACAGCGCCUCGCACCUGGGCUCCGGCAACUGCUCCAGCUGCGUGCACGACGCCGGCAGCCUGAAGAGCGGAUACCCCCUGGUGUACCCAGCGCACCCCCUGCACUCGGUGCACACCACGCUCUCCUCCGGCGGCACCCCCAGCCUGCCCGGCCACCCCCUCUACACCUAUGGCUUCAUGCUGCAGAACGACCCCCUGCCCCACAUAUGCAACUGGGUGUCUGCCAGCGGACCCUGCGAUAAGAGGUUUGCCACCUCGGAGGAGCUGCUCACCCACCUACGGACCCACACGGCGCUGCCGGGCGCAGAGAAACUCUUGGCCGGGUACCCCACGUCGGGGUUGGGCUCGGCUGCCUCCUGCCACCUCCACCUCCCGCCCGCCGCCCCCGGCAGCCCCAGCACGUUACCGGCCUCCCUGUCCUUGAGGAGCCCACACACUUUGGGACUCAACAGGUACCACCCGUACGGCAAGAGCCAUUUGCCCGCAGCCGGAGCUCUCCCCGUGCCGUCCUUGCCGGCUGCCGGACCUUACUACUCCCCCUACGCUCUCUAUGGCCAAAGACUGACUUCAGCUUCUGCACUGGGAUAUCAGUAACCACGGCAGCCCCUUCCCCUCGCCGAGCCCCCCCUUCCCCCCCCACCCCGCUCCCUCCUCGGAACUGUGUAUUUAUUUACUGUAUGUUAGCUUAAAGCUGGGAAUAUAAGUGCAUUAAUACACCAAUGAAUCGAUGGUAUGCAAAGAGUCUGUGUCCAAAAAAAAAAAAAAAAAGAAAAAAAAGAAAAAAAAAAGGAGAAAAAAAACCCCUCUUUUCUUUGCAGUUGUGGGGCUUCGGGUUUGGGGGUGUUUUUUUUUUUCCCUGCUGUUUCUUUUAAUUGAGUUUUUUUUUUUUUUUUCCUUCCCCUUCUUCAUUUUCCCCCCUGAGAAAUUCUUGCAUGACUCCCAACACGCCCGGGGAGGAACAAAAAAGACAAAAAAAAAAAAAAAAAGCUUCAACCACGUUUCUUCCUCCUCCUCCCCCUCCUCGUUUGUCGUUCUGGGAUUCAGUUUCUCUUCCUUUGUGAAGUUAACAGAUGUCAUUUUUUUUUAUUAUUAUUUUUAUUUUUAUUUUUUUUUUUUGCAAUGCGUUUUGGGGCUGCGGAUGGAGCAGCCCCCGCCCCGCGGCUCCCGCCCGGCCCCUCCGCGGGGACGAACCCCCCUCCUUUCCCCCCCCAUCCUCCUCCUCCUCCCCCCGGGGCUGCGGGCGCCCACCCCGACGGCGGCGGCGGUCCCACGGACGGAGCGGCCCCACGGACGGAGCGGCGGCGGGCGCGGGGCCGCCCGGCCGGGAGGGCUGCGAGCAUUGCGGGUGACUUAAGAGCUGCGGCUUGCUAAACGCUCGCUGGAGGACGCUGGGGGAGACGCUCGGCUGACAGCUUCGUUUACAGAAGUGUAUUCCUUCAGCUCCAUUCGCAAUAACAAACAGAUUUCCACAGACCAUAAUGUUUUCCAAUGCGGCGUUUAUGGAAGCCGUGUGCCAUGACUUCACCCCACCCCACGGUGCUGUGAUGGGGGAGCACAACCUCGCUGUGGAUGGGCAGAUGUGAUCGUGGGCACCCAGGGAACCCAACCGGCCCGGCGUUCUGUGUUUGCAGCCCCAGCACCUCCAUGGAGCCCUCCUGGACCCCACCCAGCGCCGCGCUGCAGGGAGAUGCCGGAGCACAGCGAAGAGGAGAGGGGGAUGAAAACAUUUUGGGAUGCUUUCUGGAUGAGUUUCAGCCUUCUCUGUGCUCCUCUCCUUUGGGAAGAGAGGAAAGGAGAUGGGAGUGUGCGAGAUUUGCUGCGCUGUUCUUUCCUGGUGUGUUCGCUCGCUGCGAGCCGGAGCUGCUGUGCUGCCCUCCUGCCUUCCCUGAGCAGAGCAUGGGGACCAGGACCCCCCUCUGCCACCAGCACAUGGGAACGCUCAUCCAUACCAUGUCCUUGUGCUGCGAUGGGGCUGAUGCCUGCAGAGCUGGCUGUGAACCCAGCACCUGGGAGCUCUGCUGGGCAGCGCUCCUGCAGAAGUGACGAAUUGUUUCUGCCGGAGCAAUUGUUACCUCCACCGAUUCCUGUUCCAGCUCAGCACAGCCCCAGUGAUGUCCGUGGAUGCAGAGGGACUGUGGCCAGGCCCGGCUUCCCAGGUGGAACGAGUCGUGUUGUUGGAAAAUGUCUCUGAUGUGAAGCACGGCACUCGCUCUGAGCCGCAGGCAUGGAGCUGCCUCGUGCUGGUGAGAAAAUGAUGGCUCAGCCCACCCCACCAACAAACCCUCACAAUGCACCGGGUAGGGUGGGAGCAGGAAUGGAGCACUGAGGAGUGGAGCUGAGAAAAGACCUCUGUGCCCGCCGGUGUGUGUGCCCAUUUCCCAGACUGUGGCUGAAUUUCAGAUUUGGAACAACUGCUCGGGCAGCAACAGCUCCUCCAGCUGCAGGAACGCACCGGGCCCUCUGUGGCUGUGUUAUGGCUCCCAAACCUCCCGCCUGUGCAGCGUGGGCACGGAGCAGCCCUGCUGUGUGCCUGGAGAGCAAGGAGCAAAUGUGGGCUGGGUUCAGCAGCACUUUCCCCGGGAAGAGCUACAAGAAGAGCUGAGGGUCCCCAGGAGCCCCAGCAUUACGUUGCUUCACCCUUUGCAGGAGGAAAGCUCGCAGCCCUUCGUGCUAUGGGGGAAGCUCCCGUAGCACUCAGACCCAGUGUGUUAUUUCUGGGCUCUGACUCACACUGCUGGAACGAUUCGGGGUUUGCAUGCAGCGAGCAGUGUGUUCCCAGGGGGUGUGGAGAGAGCCGGGGGGCCGGAGCCUUGGGUCGGUUUGCAGGGAUUGCUCGGUUUGUAGGGAUGCUCAGAGCUGCAGUGCAGCAGGAGGGGGUUCAGGAGCCCCCCGGGUUUGCAGCUCACAUCUCACACCGCUGCCCUUCCAUUGCGCCCGGUGCGUUGUCAGAGGCACAGAGUGUGGCGCAGUGAUUUCAGGGAGCUCAGUCCUAUGGGCGCCAUCAGCAUCCCGCAUCCCUCCCGGGGGUCCCGUGCUCAUCCCUCUCCCCUGCCCACCGUGCUUUUAUCUCUUCUGUAGGUACCAAUGGAGCCGUCAGCCUGCGGUACGACAGGUUGCGGGAGCCGGGGCCCCUCGAACAGAGCAGCCUUGUCUGUCAGAGCCGCCUGACACUCCCCAUAAUGGCCAGAUGGAUGAGACUCUGAAAGUAGGACCCGGCGCGUUUUCAACUCUAUUUUGGGUGAAAACACUUCUUGAAAGAUCUUGAAAGGAGCUGGCAGUUGAGGAGUUCCAAUGAUUAAUGAGCGCUGGCUCUGCAGGGCGGGUUGCUCGCGCCGUGCCAGCAGCCGCGCUGCUCCAGCAGCCCCAACCCCGCCGCCCCCCGCGCCCCAUCGGCUCUCCCGGAAAUGACACCAACACGACAGGGCCAGCAUAUGGAAAAAGUUAAAUAUAAAUUACUGCUGAAAGAGGCCUCGCCGAGCGGAGUUAGUUAAAGAUGUUUAUGGAUUCAGAAACACGGGCCUGCAUAUGUAUUUAGAGAUGACAAAUGUGAUUCAAUAAGUAAAGAAUUUCUCUGUGGGCUGAGGCUCAGGCGCUGGGGGGGCUCCCGGCCGUAAAUCUGGGGACAGCCUCCUCUUUCCCUCUCCUUUUUGCUCCUUCCAGGAUCAGAGCAAAGCGCUGCCUCUGCUCCUGCGUCCGUGUUCCCUGCCCUGCACCCCUGCUGCUUUCUUUUAUGGGUUUUUACCCCAAAACGGCUCUUGCUGCCAUGGCACGAAGGGUGCGGGAUGCCCCCCCGUUCCCACGUGCUCAUGCAGACCCGAAGUGCUGGCAGAGCUCAGAGCGGUGCCGUGGGGUGGGGGGGCUCCGAUGGGGAUCCCUGUGCCCCUGGUGGACCAUGCUCGUGCAGCCGGACCCUGCAGGACUGUCAGCAAAUGAUUAAUGACCAACAGCCCCCGGGCUGCCCCCACCAGGAUCGUGUGCCUCGUGCUUCAUGCGUGCUUUGCAAGUUGCUGCAUGCACGCUCAGCCCAAAGCGGGGACCCCCACAAAGACCCCGGAGAGCCCAUCCAGAGGACGGGUGUGCAGGACAUGGGCUGUCUCCCCACGCCCCCCCUGCGUACCCCCACUGUUUUUUGGGGGUCAGCGCCCGGCCGGACUGUUGACUGCCAGCCACAUUCCUUUGUCCUGAUUUGAUUCGUUAGCAGCGUUUGGCUGGGACACAGAGACAGCUAAUGAGGGACUGAGUUUAUUGCAGUUUGAUUUUUCUGUUAAAACAAUACAAUAAAAUAAAUGCGCUUGGAAA